rnacentral:rRNA from 1 species
GAUGAACGCUGGCGGCGUGCCUAACACAUGCAAGUCGAACGAAGCUUGACGGAUUAUUUCUUCGGAAUGAAACCAGAUAUGACUUAGUGGCGGACGGGUGAGUAACACGUGAGCAACCUGCCUUUCAGAGGGGGAUAACGGCUGGAAACGGUCGCUAAUACCGCAUGAUGUGUUCGGAUGUCAUCAUCUGAACAUCAAAGAUUUAUCGCUGAAAGAUGGGCUCGCGUCUGAUUAGAUAGUUGGUGGGGUAACGGCCUACCAAGUCUACGAGCAGUAGCCGGAAUGAGAGGUUGAACGGCCACAUUGGGACUGAGAUACGCGCCAGACUCCUACGGGAGGCAGCAGUGGGGAAUAUUGCACAAUGGGGAAACCCUGAUGCAGCAACGCCGCGUGAAGGAUGACGGUUUUCGGAGUGUAAACUUCUUUUCUUAGUGACGAAGACAGUGACGGUAGCUAAGGAAUAAGCACCGGCUAACUACGUG